GGAGGCAGACCUGACUCACCUAGCCGCUACGCCGCUACGACAUGAAGCUCAUAUUAGCUCCACCACAGACACAGAUGUCUCCUGGGCUGUAGGAGGCUCCCUCAGCACGGCCCGUAGCCACUGUGCAUUUGCAGUGGUAACCAACACCACAUGGCCAGGGACAGCCACAGGGAGUUAGAAAACAUGCUGCUAGUCCCAGAUAUUCACGGAGAGAUGGGAUUCCCUCCCUGCUGCCUUCACAUGAGCUCAUUACAAACAGCUCAGAGGAAAUGUACUACUAAAGCCAUCAUUGUCAAAGAAGUGACCACAAGUGCUGGAUGAUUUCUAAGCGGUAGGUAAUUGGGACACUACGUUGGGAAACUACACUGCAAGCAUAUCCCUGACAAUCCAGAGGCGUUCUUUUCGGUAUGCAACAACUGAAGCAGAACAACGGGGGCAGCAUCUUCAGUGCGAGACACUUAUUUCAGAUGAGAACAUUUCGGCGGCGUGAUUGAAAUGCUUGACGAUCACAGUGGCUCUGGUUUCAACCGAAGCUUGAGCUAUGCAAGCGCUUUGGCCGGUUUGUGCCACAAAGCCAGAAAACCAAAGUGGGCUAAGUCUCCUAGGCAACAAAAGUAUAGGCCUAGAUGACAGCUGAUGAUGUGCUCCAACAGGUGUUUGAAUUCCUCCAUCUCUUUUCAUUCACUUAGAAGUCCUAGGGCAUAUGAAACCGGUCUCAGAAGGGAUGUUCUCUAAAAGACGCAUCAUCGCUGAAUGAAGUCAUCGAUGAAAGGGGAGUCAGGAUAACUACACCCUAAAUACACCUCUUCACACAGCAGCACAGCCUUCAGUCAGCAUUCAGGGACACGAGAGAGAAUCUGUUUGACUAAGGGAAGAUGGCGCCCAUUGCCAGGCUACUGGCUGCCACAUCUGAUUAGAGGGCUGGGUGCUGAUGGACUGGCCACUCUGACCAGGAGGCUUGUUGACAUGCCCACAUCGAUCAGUACAUGUCCCAUCACGUCCAGGCCAAUGAUUUCCUCACCAGGCAGCUACGCAGACCACUGAAACAGGCCUGGGUGCCAUCACACACAUGGUAACGUGCUGGCUUCUCUCUCGCCAUAUGAUUGUCAGGGGAAACGGAAGUUGGGACGAAUAUACCAUAUCCCUGAAAACCGGAAACAUCCACCUUCUACCAAACCUGCGGAGAGUGAAGUCGGACAAAAAGCCCACAGGAGUGAGCAGGUACGGUAUGAAAAGCUGCGGGAGCGGGAGGAUGAAAUCAGUCCCACGCAGACCUAUUCAAUAGCAUUUCCACUCCCAAAGAAAACAGGGCAGAUGAAGACGGUUGUUUUUUGGGGACGAGGGAGAGGGUGUGGGUAUGUGGGGUGGAUGGUCAAACACACUAGACAUGUUGACAUAUUGGGCAGUACCAACACCCCUCUCCCUCUCUCCCGUCCAACCUCCAUCAAUAUUUCUGAGAAAAAGAAAAGUGCGAGAGGAGAGCAGUGGGAAGCAGUAAGAUAACACUCAAUAGUUUCAAGUGACUGACAGUGAGAGAGAAGAAAAAUCGAAAGAGACUGAAAAGGAGUUUGAGGAGGAAACUAGGAGGCAUUGCUAUGUAGCUAGAAGAGAGGAGAUGAGAGAGAGAGAGAGAGAGAGAGAGAGAGAGAGAGAGAGAGAGAGAGAGAGAGAGAGAGAGAGAGAGAGAGAGAGAGAGAGAUGGAAAGCAGGGCAGGGAUGAGCGGAGGGUAUGGCAGCAAUCACUCUGGCCAGAUCAGUGGAGAUGAACUGGACUGCAGCCAGCCAGAGAGAGAGGUUGAGACUGGGCACAGAGCUCCAUCUCUGGCUUUCAGCCUUUCUGUCUCACUCACUCACUCACUCUUUGUCUCUCUCACUCUAUCUCUCACCAGGGUUCUAAAUAUAAAAAAUGUAUUGGUUGCAAAACAACGAAUAGGUAACAGUGUAAAGACACUAGCUUAUUAUAAAAGUUCAAAUCAUGAUGCGAAUUAAGGGGGAGCUGAAUGAGACGUUAGAGCCUCUAAAUGAGAAGCUCUAAAUAAUGAAAUUUAACCAUUGUAAUAUUUGUUUAAAAAGCAGUGGUAAAUAUGACAGUGAAAGCUGCCAAUGAAACGAACACCCCCACCUCUCUGUCAUGGUUUAAACCAUCUAUUUCUACAGUAUGUGGUGGCGCUGUCCACUCAGUAGUGCUGAAUUUCAGCUUUAGCUGAGCUCCUUUACACAUUGAUUUUCAUUUGUACUUCCUCAUUUUUGCUAUUUGUUUGCCAUGCGGUGUUGAUAAAAAAUAUCCUUUAUUCCAAUUCAUUACAUCUAUCCAUUGAUGUAUCAUUGUUUGCUGUUGUCAGUCAGCUCUUUAGAUCACUCAUUGCUUUGUUUUUCAGGUGCUCGUGGGUGCUGGUGUUCUCCCUGCCAUCCGUGACCAGAAGUAGCAGAUCAUUUAUUUACCUUUAUUAUUUUCUAACAAUGUUUUUUCUUUCUUUCCUGGAUCAGCUGAUGGUCGGCAAUAUCACUAGACAACACGCCUACAGCUAGACACCAAUGCCGCAUCCAAUCCAUCCAACAAGUACACGUUAAUGAAAGUAGGCCUAUAGUUGACUCUUUUGGUUAGAAGCAUUCGAUUUUGCAACUGCAUAGACCUACAUUAUUUUGGAUAUGUGUGCCCAGGAGAGCUCUUUCACAGUGAAAGUUAAAUAGGCAUAGUUACACAUACAGUGUAUUUUAAGCGAUAACCAAGAGCCAUAAUUAGUACAGGGCUUAAGUUUAAUGUUUUAAUUCAAUUCUUAUUUGUUAAUAAUGACAAAUAAAUGCAAGGAUAGAAAGUUAGUGUUUUAUGUCACAGGAUCUGUGACGACUCCAAGCAUUAAUUCAGGAACUAGGGUGUAAAACAUGUUUUGAUUCAACUCGUGUAUUACAUUGAAUGUAGGCUUCCUAUUCUGCCAGGUUGUUAGCUAGCUACAACAGCCAAAGAUGUAACAUGCGUUCCUCAAAACACCACCCAGAGAGAACGUUUGCUAACAAGUGACAAACAAGUCCUCGUGAUGUGGAUGCUGAGGAACUUCAAACUUGUGACUCUCUCUACUGCAAUCCUGUUGAUGUGGAUUGGGGCAUGUUCCCUCCUCUGCUUCCUGAAGUCAACAAUCAACUGAUGUAACUGCACGAGGCAUCCAGCACUCAAUGUCCCUUUGUCUUGGCACCCAGGCCUGCUUAUUCAUCUUACCAUCUGUAUGAUAAAGUGCCACCUGAACCCGGGCCAAGAAGCCAUGUGAACUCAACUCUCAGCAUAGCAGGGGGGUGGAUGGAUAGAAGCAAGAUGGCGCCGACAGACAUGCCUCCGCCCAGUACCCUGCCCUGAACUUUAAUCACUGUUACUAGCCGGCUCCCACCCGGUACUCUACCCUGCAACUUAGAGACUGCUGCCCUACGUACACAGUCA